CAAUUGCAAUAAAGGACAGUGCAACGAUGGGUUGUUAGGUGAUGGAAGGUGCACAUGCAACGCGGGAUUUAAAGGAGUUAAUUGUGACCAAGAGAUUGAAACUGAUUUCUGCAAUGGUACAUGUGAUGUGAAUGCAAAUUGCAUGAAUGACUCUACUACUUCUCAACCCACCUGCUCCUGUUCUGCUGGUUAUUCUGGAAAUGGAACCUCUUGUACAG